GCCAAACCAGUUGUCACCAUCCUUCGACCAGUUAUGCCAUUUGUUGCUAUGAUCUGUACUUCAUUGUGCAUUGGCAGUCCUCUUGCAAUUAAUCAAAGGCAAAUUCUGUGUAUGGAUGGUCUCCGAUUUCCAAAAUUCCAAGUGUAAGGCAGGAAGAAGAAGUUAGCAGAACACUUUCAUUAUGCACUGGAAUGCAAAGCUCCACCCUGGCUGGUCUCCUUGCAAGCCAGUUCCUUGGGAGCAGUAGUCAAGCCGUUCCUCCAGCAUGUUCGGUUGUUGCCAUGACCAUCACGGGCCUUUUUCUUGCCUCUUUCUGGGGCACGGGUGCUCGAAUUCGAGACCUUUCUUCCCUACUAAUGCCUCAAACAAGUUCUACCAUGAAGGCUUCGUAGUGAAGCAACAACCAGAGAAAGCUAAUUUAGUGCAGACUGAUGGCCAGGGUAACUAGCGCAGAGCAUUUUGAGGCAAGUACAAUAGAAAGGGAUCCGGGGUGUUUGUGUGGAACACACCUCAACUGGGUUGGAAAGAAUAGUGCAUACAGAGGAUAAGGAGCCAAAUAGACAACGGGAAACAUAGUUUAGGCGUAGACUACUUGUAAAGUUGUAAAGCUUUCUACACUACAGCUACAUCUUGAUGUUGCUACUUUGUAUAGGCCCUCAUUAAGGUAUAUAUAAAGGUUUGCAACUCUCAUCCACUUCCACUAAUUUCACAAUUAGCUUGCAGUGCUUUUGAGUUUGACACUUCGCAGAAUCACAUGAUUACACAGUUGUUAACUGUUUUCCACUGCUUUGGUCAGUACUUCUGUCUCCAUUUUGAAUCAUUCCAGCUCGGAAUGGCUCCUGUUUACAUGGCAUUUCUACGUUUCGUGGGGGAUGAAACAGAAGCUCGGAACUACACCUACAGCCUCGAGGUUGGAGGAAAUGGCCGAAAGAUCAUAUAGGAAGGAAAUCCAAGAAACAUAAGGGAUAGCCACAAGAAGGUUAGGACAGCCAUGAUGGCCUCAUAAUACAGCGCAACAUGGCGCUUUUCUUCUCUGGUGGGGAUAGGUAAGAGCUGAAGCUGCGAGUUACAGGAUGAAUAUGGAAAGAACAGCACCCAGAAGGCGGUGCCUGCAUCAUACCUCUCUGUAGUUAGUUCUCGAUUAUCCCUUUCACUCGUGUGCUAAAACAUUAUCUUAAUGUUAUUAGUGAAUGUAGAUGCUAAAGGAUUCUUUCUCUAUUUAUGAAGUUUCAAUUCUGGAGGCUUCACUUUCCAAAUGUAGUAUAUUAAAGCUUCCAGUUUCCUUGUAGCUGAAAUACAAUAUUUUGUCCUGAUUUACGCUGUUAUUAAGAGUAGCUUAACAACUCAA